UUAGGAAUAUUGGGCAAUGGAGGAAACUCUGACCCAGCAACGCCGCGUGAAGGAAGAAGGUUUUCGGAUUGUAAACUUCUGAUCUAUGGGAAGAAGAGAAUGACGGUACCAUAGGAGAAAGCCACGGCUAACUACGUGCCAGCAGCCGCGGUAAUACGUAGGUGGCGAGCGUUGUCCGGAAUAACUGGGCGUAAAGGGAGCGUAGGUGGCUCUGUAAGUUAGGUGUGAAAGCCCGAGGCUCAACUUCGGAAUUGCACUUAAAACUGUGGAGCUAGAGUACAGGAGGGGUAAACGGAAUUUCUAGUGUAGCGGUGAAAUGCGUAGAUAUUAGGAAGAACACCAGAGGCGAAGGCGGUUUACUGGACUGCAACUGACACUGAGGCUCGAAAGCGUGGGGAGCAAACAGG
rnacentral:rRNA from 1 species